GACAGAGGGUGCAAACGUUGUUCGGAAUUACUGGGCGUAAAGCGUGCGCAGGCGGUGAUGUAAGACAGUUGUGAAAUCCCCGGGCUCAACCUGGGAACUGCAUCUGUGACUGCAUCGCUGGAGUACGGUAGAGGGGGAUGGAAUUCCGCGUGUAGCAGUGAAAUGCGUAGAUAUGCGGAGGAACACCGAUGGCGAAGGCAAUCCCCUGGACCUGUACUGACGCUCAUGCACGAAAGCGUGGGGAGCAAACAGG
rnacentral:rRNA from 1 species